AAAGGCGCUUUCGGGUGUCGCUGAUGGAUGGACCCGCGGUGCAUUAGCUAGUUGGUGAGGUAACGGCUCACCAAGGCCACGAUGCAUAGCCGACCUGAGAGGGUGAUCGGCCACAUUGGGACUGAGACACGGCCCAAACUCCUACGGGAGGCAGCAGUAGGGAAUCUUCGGCAAUGGACGAAAGUCUGACCGAGCAACGCCGCGUGAGUGAAGAAGGUUUUCGGAUCGUAAAACUCUGUUGUUAGAGAAGAACAAGGAUGAGAGUAACUGUUCAUCCCUUGACGGUAUCUAACCAGAAAGCCACGGCUAACUACGUGCCAGCAGCCGCGGUAAUACGUAGGUGGCAAGCGUUGUCCGGAUUUAUUGGGCGUAAAGCGAGCGCAGGCGGUUUCUUAAGUCUGAUGUGAAAGCCCCCGGCUCAACCGGGGAGGGUCAUUGGAAACUGGGAGACUUGAGUGCAGAAGAGGAGAGUGGAAUUCCAUGUGUAGCGGUGAAAUGCGUAGAUAUAUGGAGGAACACCAGUGGCGAAGGCGGCUCUCUGGUCUGUAACUGACGCUGAGGCUCGAAAGCGUGGGGAGCAAACAGGAUUAGAUACCCUGGUA
rnacentral:rRNA from 1 species